rnacentral:rRNA from 1 species
UACGGAGGGAGCUAGCGUUGUUCGGAAUUACUGGGCGUAAAGCGCACGUAGGCGGCUUUGUAAGUUAGAGGUGAAAGCCUGGAGCUCAACUCCAGAAUUGCCUUUAAGACUGCAUCGCUUGAAUCCAGGAGAGGUGAGUGGAAUUCCGAGUGUAGAGGUGAAAUUCGUAGAUAUUCGCAAGAACACCAGUGGCGAAGGCGGCUCACUGGCCCGGUACUGACGCUGAGGUGCGAAAGCGUGGGGAGCAAACAGG